rnacentral:rRNA from 1 species
AGCAGCCGCGGUAAAUUCCAGCUCCAAUAGCGUAUAUUAAAGUUGUUGCAGUUAAAAAGCUCGUAGUUGAAUUUCGGGAUCAAUACGUCGGUCAUGCCUCUGGUAUGUACUGGUGUUAUUGGUUUCUCCUUUCUGAGGAGCCAUGAUGUCAUUAAUUUGGUGUCGUGGGGAAUCAGGACUGUUACUUUGAAAAAUUAGAGUGUUUAAAGCAGGCACGCGCUUGAAUACAUUAGCAUGGAAUAAUGAAAUAGGACGUUCGAUUCUAUUUUGUUGGUUUCUAGGAUCAACGUAAUGAUUAAUAGGGAUAGUUGGGGGCAUUAGUAUUCAAUUGUCAGAGGUGAAAUUCUUGGAUUUAUU